AGGUUUGAAAAAAACUGACCUAAGACAGUUGGGGAGCUAGACUCGUAAACAUCCAACCGAGGCACAAAACGUAACUAUUUUUUUGUGACGUAUUGUACUUUCGUGUCUAGGUUUAGGUACGGUUUUUUUGUGCCUAG
rfam:Streptococcus thermophilus LMG 18311, complete genome.